rnacentral:misc_RNA from 1 species
GAUGAAGAACGUAACGAAAUGCGAUAAGUAAUGUGAAUUGCAGAAUUCAGUGAAUCAUCGAAUCUUUGAACGCACAUUGCGCCCGCCAGUAUUCUGGCGGGCAUGCCUGUCCGAGCGUCAUUUCAACCCUCGAACCCCUCCGGGGGGUCGGCGUUGGGGAUCGGCCCUUUACCGGCCGGCCCCGAAAUACAGUGGCGGUCUCGCCGCAGCCUCUCCUGCGCAGUAGUUUGCACACUCGCACCGGGAGCGCGGCGCAGUCCAAUGCCGUAAAACACCCAACUCUCUGAAAUGUUGACCUCGGAUCAGGUAGGAAUACCCGCUGAACUUAAGCAUAUCAAUAAGCGGAGGA